UGGCCCUGGAACUCUCAACACUGGCCAAGCAGGACAGAGAAUGUCACUCCCUUCUAGUACCCAUUGUGAGCUGCAACAGAAGGGUUCUACAGAGGCCCAACAGGAAACCAAGCUAGAAGUGUGGAGAAAUAAGCUUAGGUCAUGUUAUUAUAAUGUCCUUUGCACUGUGCUCACAAAGAAUGAUGAGUAAUAUGAAGUUGCUGGAAUAUGGCCCAAGGGGUCUUACUGUGUUGGACAUCACUUAGGAUUCCUGUCUCACUGAGGAUUGGAAACACCCUGCCAUGAGCACUGAGCCUGCUCUGGGUGCAAAUUCCCGCCACAACAACCAGAAGAGGCCAAAGAUGAACAUCCGAAGAAUCCAGAUGAGCACGGGUGCCAAGUUCCAGGAGAGGAGGCUUGAAGAUCCGUUAGUGAGCGCAAAGGGCUUCUGUGUUGUCUGAGAGUGGUAGUCUCCCAGCCUCCGCCCCGUAACCCCCAAGGCCUUCAACAGACACAGAAAAUACAUAAAUUCCAUUUCCGUAUGUGGCUUGGAAUGCUUACUGUCCUCACGCUACUGUGUCUGCCCUAAGUGUCUGCGCACUGGGAAAGUGAUCGCUUACAGCCUCCUUGGGAGGCAAGGGGACUCUCCGCAUUUUCUCUCCUCCUGUUCCCAUUAUCACCUCCAUUUCCCUACCAUCUGAGAAGCUGUAGGACUGCGGGAAGUCCAUAAGUGAGCCUGUCCCUGGUAAACUGGGGAAAAUUC
rnacentral:lncRNA from 1 species